rnacentral:misc_RNA from 1 species
ACAUUGUCCCUUCAGUUGGUGGGCUGGGUCUGUGUUCUGGUUGGCAUGGUGAUCAUGAUUGUUUUCUCUAGCUGUGUCCCGAACAAGAUCCUCGGUUGGGUGGCUAUCAUAUUCAUGCUACUUGGAGGACUUUGUAUCACGGUGAGCCUGAUCCUGUACGGAGCCUCCCUGACAGAUCUCUACAACUCCCUCCUCAACUGGUCCUUCGGGUUGGACGUGGCCGGGGCUGCCCUCGCGCUCACUGCCGCGGUCCUGAUGAUCGUCAACAGCUGCAUCAUACCCUGAUUACACCCAAGGGGAAUACGCUCAUGAUCAUCGGGGUGUGGGUCAAGGGGAGGUAACCCGAACACAGCCUAUAGUUAUUGCGCGCUGUUAUUCAGUGGUGCGUUUUAUAGUUUAAGUUCAUCUGAUAGCGCCCAUUACCACCGCGAGAAGGAAGGAAUUCACAGGACAUUCAGAGCUAGGAAUCGAUGCGUUUCUACCUUCAGAUGGGGAUCACAUAUACAUCAUUUCAUCAUCUAGAGCAGUGAAUGUCAGUGUCAUGUGAAUGACGGUCCUAUCAACUAUGUGAAGGACCUAAUCUUGAUUUAUGUUUAAAUUCAGGUUCAAUUUCUAUGCAUUUUAUAUAACGUGUAUGUAUUUGUCAGUUUUAUGGUUGUGCAAUUUAUGGAUUGUAUAAAUACAUGUACCUCUUUAAAACAUUUUAAAAAUUGGUCAGUUUUAUUUACUUACAAAUCUUUUAUAAAUGAACAUGUAAAGUAUAUUUUACACCAAAUGAAUACUUAAUGAAUG